GCUUAACGCGAAGAACCUUACCAGCCCUUGACAUGGCAGGACGAUUUCCGGAGACGGAUCUCUUCACUUCGGUGACCUGCACACAGGUGCUGCAUGGCUGUCGUCAGCUCGUGUCGUGAGAUGUUGGGUUAAGUCCCGCAACGAGCGCAACCCUCGCCUCUAGUUGCCAUCAUUAAGUUGGGCACUCUAGAGGGACUGCCGGUGAUAAGCCGGAGGAAGGUGGGGAUGACGUCAAGUCCUCAUGGCCCUUACGGGCUGGGCUACACACGUGCUACAAUGGUGGUGACAGAGGGCAGCUACUCCGCGAGGGGAAGCUAAUCUCACAAACCGAUCGUAGUCCGGAUCGCAGUCUGCAACUCGACUGCGUGAAGUCGGAAUCGCUAGUAAUCGUGAAUCAGAAUGUCACGGUGAAUACGUUCCCGGGUCUUGUACACACCG
rnacentral:rRNA from 1 species